rnacentral:rRNA from 1 species
UACGUAGGGGGCGAGCGUUGUCCGGAUUCAUUGGGCGUAAAGCGCGCGUAGGCGGCCCGGCAAGUCGGCCGUGAAAUCUCCCAGCUCAGCUGGGAGGGGUCGGGCGAGACUGCGGGGCUCGAGGUGGGCAGAGGGCAGUGGAAUUCCGGGUGUAGUGGUGGAAUGCGUAGAGAUCCGGAGGAACACCAGUGGCGAAGGCGGCUGCCUGGGCCUGGCCUGACGCUGAGGCGCGAAAGCGUGGGGAGCGAUCCGG